rnacentral:rRNA from 1 species
AAUGCCUACGGGACGAGCAGUGAGGAAUAUUGGUCAAUGGGCGGAAGCCUGAACCAGCCAAGUCGCGUGAGGGAAUAAGGCCCUACGGGUCGUAAACCUCUUUUGCCGGGGAGCAAGGGCCGGGACGCGUCCCGGCCCGGAGAGUACCCGGAGAGAGAGCAUCGGCUAACUCCGUGCCAGCAGCCGCGGUAAUACGGAGGAUGCGAGCGUUAUCCGGAUUUAUUGGGUUUAAAGGGUGCGUAGGCGGGCUUUUAAGUCAGCGGUAAAAAUUCGGGGCUCAACC